rnacentral:rRNA from 1 species
UAGUGGCGAACGGGUGAGUAACACGUGGGCAAUCUGCCCUUCACUCUGGGACAAGCCCUGGAAACGGGGUCUAAUACCGGAUAACACCUGCCCGGGCAUCUGGGUGGGUUAAAAGCUCCGGCGGUGAAGGAUGAGCCCGCGGCCUAUCAGCUUGUUGGUGAGGUAGUGGCUCACCAAGGCGACGACGGGUAGCCGGCCUGAGAGGGCGACCGGCCACACUGGGACUGAGACACGGCCCAGACUCCUACGGGAGGCAGCAGUGGGGAAUAUUGCACAAUGGGCGAAAGCCUGAUGCAGCGACGCCGCGUGAGGGAUGACGGCCUUCGGGUUGUAAACCUCUUUCAGCAGGGAAGAAGCGAAAGUGACGGUACCUGCAGAAGAAGCGCCGGCUAACUACGUGCCAGCAGCCGCGGUAAUACGUAGGGCGCAAGCGUUGUCCGGAAUUAUUGGGCGUAAAGAGCUCGUAGGCGGNUUGUCACGUCGGGUGUGAAAGCCCGGGGCUUAACCCCGGGUCUGCAUUCGAUACGGGCUAGCUAGAGUGGGNAGGGAAGAUCGGANUUCCU